rnacentral:rRNA from 1 species
UACGUAGGUGGCGAGCGUUGUCCGGAUUUACUGGGCGUAAAGAGCGCGCAGGCGGUCGUACAAGUCGCGUGUGAAAGCCCCCGGCUCAACUGGGGAGGGUCACGCGAUACUGUUCGACUCGAAGGCAGGAGAGGGAAGUGGAAUUCCGAGUGUAGAGGUGAAAUUCGUAGAUAUUCGGAAGAACACCAGUGGCGAAGGCGGCUCACUGGACUGGUAUUGACGCUGAGGUGCGAAAGCGUGGGGAGCAAACAGG